ensembl:lncRNA
AUGAUCCUGAGGUGUCAGGGAUCUUUCUGUCUUCCAGGGCAAGGGGAAAUUGAGGCAAGACUCUGGUACCACAGAUUUGGGGUCCCAAGCUCAAGUCCUUUGCUCCUGUCUCUCUUGAGUCCACAGGGCCAAAGACCACCUCCAAAACUCUAUCUCCCACAAGCCCAUUCUCUCCACCAACUGCCAUUCUUUCCUCCUUCCAACAUUCCAAAAUGGUUCCUCAGUGCCAGUUUCCUUCCUACACCUUACAGCCCCAAGCCACAGAAAUGCCCUCUACUUGUACCUGUACCUGGAGAUAUCCCUCCUCCAGUACCUCCAGCUAUGAAUGUGUCCUCUAUUUGUGAGCAUAUACAAAGGGACGACAAAAAUCAAGCCAAUUGGAGAAGGCCCAGGAUGCAGUGGAUCACUUUGGUGUCUUCAGUGUCUGACCGAGCUCUAAGCACUCUACAAUGCCUGCUUCAGAUGCCAUCAUGGCUGUUGAAACAAAUUGUUCUCAUCUUCCCUUUCCACUGGGAGAAGUCUUCACAUGCUUGGGAUAGACAUCCUCCUAGAUUACUAACAGGUUUAGGUCUGUUGCCUCUCCUCAACCAAGGACUUCUCCCUAUGCCAGACAUUCUAUCCACUGUCAUCACCAGUAAAAAGGAGUGGUCAUUGGAUCUCAUGAGUCUUAUCAGGCUUAUAUUUGGAAUCUCCGCCAUAUUUGGAAUUUUUGCUCAAGGAAGAGAACCUGCCUUCUGA